UUUUAUGAAUGACCAAAGAAAGUGGUUUCUUGAGAUGGAAUCUACUCCUGGUAAAGAUUAUGUAAA
rnacentral:pre_miRNA from 4 species